AAAAAAAACCAGCCACAAAAAGAAAUGCCCCGAACCAGGAUCGAACUGGUGACCUUACGAUCUUCAGUCGUACGCUCUCCCAACUGAGCUAUCGAGGCACGAAAUUACGCGCCCAUCACUGUUAAC
ensembl:ncRNA Y66D12A.29 ncRNA